GACAGAGGGUGCAAACGUUGUUCGGAAUUACUGGGCGUAAAGCGAGUGUAGGCGGUUUGGUAAGUCGGAUGUGAAAGCCCCCGGGCUCAACCCGGGAAGUGCACUCGAUACUGCCAGGCUAGAGUAUCGGAGAGGUUGGUGGAAUUCUCGGUGUAGAGGUGAAAUUCGUAGAUAUCGAGAGGAACACCGGUGGCGAAGGCGGCCAACUGGACGAAUACUGACGCUGAGACUCGAAAGCGUGGGGAGCAAACAGG
rnacentral:rRNA from 1 species